UACGGAGGGGGCUAGCGUUGUUCGGAAUUACUGGGCGUAAAGCGCGCGUAGGCGGACCUGCAAGUCGGGGGGUGAAAGCCCGAGGCUCAACCUCGGAACUGCCUUCGAUACUGCGGGUCUCGAGUCCGGGAGAGGUGAGUGGAAUUCCCAGUGUAGCGGUGAAAUGCGUAGAUAUUGGGAGGAACACCAGUGGCGAAGGCGGCUCACUGGACCGGUACUGACGCUGAGGCGCGAAAGCGUGGGGAGCAAACAGG
rnacentral:rRNA from 1 species